GGUAGCUCAGUGGUAAAGCACAUGCCUACCAAGCAUGAAGCCCUGGGUUUGAUCUCUAGUACCA
rnacentral:tRNA from 1 species